rnacentral:rRNA from 1 species
UACCGCAUACGCUACCUUCGGGUAAUGAAAGGGGCUUUUGCUUCACUGAUCGAUAGGGGUAAGUUGUAUUAGCUAGUUGGUAGGGUAAUGGCCUACCAAGGCAAUGAUGCAUAGCCAGCUUUAGCGAGUGAAUGGCCACAUUGGGACUGAGACAAGGCCCAGACUCCUUCGGGAGGCAGCAGCAGGGAAUUUUUCGCAAUGGGGGAAACCCUGACGAAGCGAUACUACGUGAAGGAAGAAGGUCUAUGGAUUGUAAACUUCUGUCAGCGCAGAAGAAAAAAGUAAAUGAAAGUUUAUUAUUGACCAUGCGCUUAGAAAGUCACGACUAACUACGUGCCAGCAGUCGCGGCAAUACGUAGGUGGCGAAUGUUAUCCGGAAUUAUUGGGCGUAAAGAAUGCGUAGAUUGUAUAAUAAGUCAUUGGUAGAAGUCAGGCUCAACCUGAAAGAAGCUGAUGAUACUGUUAAACUAGAGUGCAGGAGAGGUUGAUGGAAUUCCAUGUGGAGCGGUGAAAUGCUUAGAUAUAUGGAGGAACACCAAUAAAGGCGAAGGCAGUCAACUAUUCUGAUACUGACAUUGAAGCAUGAAAGCGUGGGGAGCAAAAAGGAUUAGAUACCCUUGUAGUCCACGCCGUAAACGAUGCAAACUAGAUGUUGGGUUCAAACUCAGUGUCGCUAGCUAACGCGUUAAGUUUGCCGCCUGGAUAGUACGCUCGCAAGAGUGAAACCCAAAGGAAUUGACGGGGACCCGCACAAGCGGUGGAGCAUGUGGUUUAAUUCGAUACAACGCGCAUAACCUUACCGAGGCUUGACAUGGAGUGCAAAACUGCGGAAACGCAGCGGAGGUUAUCACUACACAGAUGGUGCAUGGCCGUCGUCAGUUCGUGCCGUGAGGUGUAUGGUUAAGUCCUAUAACGAACGCAACCCUUGUCUUUAGUUACUACUGUAAAGA